GCCAUAUCAUAUCACUGUAGGUCAAAUAAUUUUACCAGAUAGAAAAUCAUGUGUUGAAUGCUAUAGAGAAAUCCUUGGUAAGGACUCUAUGGACUAUAUCCAUAGUAAUUGAAGUUAGGAAAACAUCCCAAGCAAUAAUUUUAAAGUUGACAACAGGAAUAACAGAGAGAGAGGUGGCGAUAGGAGAAAGUCAAGUGAGGUAAUGAUCCUAUGAUAAUUGUCUGAAG
rnacentral:misc_RNA from 1 species